GCAGCCAUGGCCAAGUGGUUAAGGUGUUGGACUUGAAAUCCAGUGGGGUCUCCUCGUGCAGAUUCUUAUCUGGCUCGCUGC
rnacentral:tRNA from 1 species